GCUUAACACAUGCAAGUCGAGGCCUUGCAUGGUCUUAGCUUGCUAAGGCCGAUGGCGACCGGCGCACGGGUGAGUAACACGUAUCCAACCUGCCGUCUACUCUUGGACAGCCUUCUGAAAGGAAGAUUAAUACAAGAUGGCAUCAUGAGUUCGCAUGUUCACAUGAUUAAAGGUAUUCCGGUAGACGAUGGGGAUGCGUUCCAUUAGAUAGUAGGCGGGGUAACGGCCCACCUAGUCUUCGAUGGAUAGGGGUUCUGAGAGGAAGGUCCCCCACAUUGGAACUGAGACACGGUCCAAACUCCUACGGGAGGCAGCAGUGAGGAAUAUUGGUCAAUGGGCGGAGGCCUGAACCAGCCAAGUAGCGUGAAGGAUGACUGCCCUAUGGGUUGUAAACUUCUUUUAUAAAGGAAUAAAGUCGGGUAUGUAUACCCGUUUGCAUGUACUUUAUGAAUAAGGAUCGGCUAACUCCGUGCCAGCAGCCGCGGUAAUACGGAGGAUCCGAGCGUUAUCCGGAUUUAUUGGGUUUAAAGGGAGCGUAGAUGGAUGUUUAAGUCAGUUGUGAAAGUUUGCGGCUCAACCGUAAAAUUGCAGUUGAUACUGGAUAUCUUGAGUGCAGUUGAGGCAGGCGGAAUUCGUGGUGUAGCGGUGAAAUGCUUAGAU
rnacentral:rRNA from 1 species